rnacentral:lncRNA from 1 species
AAAGCCUUCAGAGUUGUUGAAAGUUGAAACUAUACAGUUUCAAUUUAUGUAGCGUCAUCAGGGUGCGGCUCAUGCUAUCAAGAUAUGCCAACCUCCAAAUUUAUUUUGUAUGCAAAUCUAUUUGACGCAAAUGCUUAAUGGUAUUGAUUUUACUCUGAAUACUGUGGGAGAUGUCAUUUCGAGACUGAACUAGCCUACUUUCUUAUAAUCCAUGAUCAUCACAUCACCGUAGCAUAUAGAAAGGGGUUGGUUCAUUGGUUCGUCCAGCGAUGACGUCAACUCGGACAAGGUAAUGACAUGUAAUUCUGAUGGUAGAUUGAGCUUUUUCAUUUUUAGUACAUCGAAUAUAUGAUCUCAAGGAAUGAUGAUUUUCUCCUUCCGAAUCAUUUGAUAGAUACUUCAAUGAUAAGCAACAAAUUUGAUAAAUUAGAGAGAGAUAUGCUUUCAUCAAUUGCUUACCCUUGAAGAAAUCAUUUUGUUCUGCUUUAUGAAAACCGCGCAGCAUAUACAUUCUGGUGUUGGGAUAAUAUGUGGACGUGAUUCAGUCGCUUAGUAUUCUGGAUUUGCGGUUUAAUCUCCUAAGAUGUUCAGUUUCAUGCAGAUGGUGCCCAUCGACACUGCUACCUUCCGAAGGUUGCCAUGCUAUGGAUUGACAACCAUGGGCGUGUUUCUUCCAUGCGCUGUAGAGCAGGUGGACGAGGAGAAGGGGCCAGCCCGAGCUGGACGACGGAGUGUCUUCGGAGGCGGAGGAGAGGACCAACAAUAGCAGCGACACGGUGGUGUCUAGCAGGAUCAAUAAGCUGACCCGCAGGGCUUGGCAAGGCCGUGAGACAUGGCCGCAGCAAUGGAGCACGUCUUUGGAAAAACGAACACGUCAGGCCAAUAAUAUAGACCUAUUAGCAUAUAUGCAUGAGACAGUACCGUGGCCUGCUCUGCUUUAUAAAUGAAAACUCUUCUGCUGCAGUUCUAUUUUACUCUCCGUACCUUAACUACAAUGUAACGUUCACAAGUACAUCAGCAUGACUGAUGCGCACAGUGACGCAGAGGAGGCGCGCCCAGGGCGCGCCCCAGCCACUAGUGCAUGUCACGGGUGCAUGCACGAACGCAUGCAGGCAUGGUCCUCGCCAACUGAGAUACUACCCGCUGGUGCUGCGUUGUAUAUGCUCAUACUCCUAUUUGGCAGCAACGAUCGAAUAGAGAAAACGGAUAAGCUGUCGGUGUCAGGGUCCUUUGGCGUGCGAGUGAACGCACUGCACGUUCAAAUGCAUGCAGCG